rnacentral:rRNA from 1 species
UAGGGAAUCUUCGGCAAUGGACGAAAGUCUGACCGAGCAACGCCGCGUGAGUGAAGAAGGUUUUCGGAUCGUAAAACUCUGUUGUUAGAGAAGAACAAGGACGUUAGUAACUGAACGUCCCCUGACGGUAUCUAACCAGAAAGCCACGGCUAACUACGUGCCAGCAGCCGCGGUAAUACGUAGGUGGCAAGCGUUGUCCGGAUUUAUUGGGCGUAAAGCGAGCGCAGGCGGUUUCUUAAGUCUGAUGUGAAAGCCCCCGGCUCAACCGGGUGGGGUCGUUGGAAACUGGGUGACUUGAUUGCAGAAGAGGAGAGUUGAGUUCCAUGUGUAGCGGUGAAUUGCGUAGAUAUAUGGAGGAACACCAGUGGCGAAGGCUGCUCUCUGGUCUGUAACUGACGCUGAGGCUCGAUAGCGUGGGGAGCAAACAGG